UGUAAUAUUUGUUUUGAGAAACCCUGAAAGUAAAAUUAUCCAUCUUAUUUCAAACAAACAGCAAUAGACAUGUCGGUUGAAUUGAAGAUGGAUUUUAUAGAGCAGUACAACAAUCCAGACAGUCCUGAAUCCAAAACCCUUUCAAGAAGUAUCACUGUAUUGCUUGAGCAGCAGUAUCGCAAACUGGAUGGCUUCUUUAGUGUUUCUGUGACAAAAUUCAGGAAAGGAAGUGUUGUUACAGAUUUUACUGUCAAGGUCAAAUCUGGAUCACUUGAUGCGACUGCACUGAAUUCAGUCAAUUCAAAUCUCCCGGCAGCAUUGAUAUCAAUUGCUCCUGUUAUUGGCUCAGUGACUGCAAAGUACUACAGUUCAACUCAACUUGGGUCAGAUGUAAAUAAGUUCAUUUAUACUGGUAAAACCAUGACACUGACAUGUGACCCUACCGAGGCCAAAAUGGGAAACACUAAGAAUCCUGUAUGGAAAUUUAACAAUGUUGUAAUCGGGUCACAUCGGCACAAACCGUUUAUUCU